rnacentral:rRNA from 1 species
AGAUGCUCACUGGGUUUAAAGGGUGCGCAGGCGGUUUUGUAAGACAGAGGUGAAAUCCCCGGGCUCAACCUGGGAACUGCCUUUGUGACUGCAAGGCUGGAGUGCGGCAGAGGGGGAUGGAAUUCCGCGUGUAGCAGUGAAAUGCGUAGAUAUGCGGAGGAACACCGAUGGCGAAGGCAAUCCCCUGGGCCUGCACUGACGCUCAUGCACGAAAGCGUGGGGAGCAAACA